GAUUCCAAUGUGGCCAGCGGCAGCUCCCGCACACACAAGUGGAUGGAGCCUCCGGUUGUGACGUCACGCCCAAUGCGGAAGUGCCCGAGAAGGCUGCGUUCUCUGAGCGGACAACAGGUGGCGACAACGCUGGAUGCUAAAACAACGUGUUGAGGAAAAAGCAGUGACAUGGGCCGACAUGUUGGGACUCAGGUCCAGGCCUUUCCCCCUCCCCAAGGAAUGGGUGUGCCUGGAUGACAGCCCAGCAAAGACUCACCGCUUUCUUCAUCUCACCGCUUGCCUGUCUCGUACGCACCUGCUCGCCCUAGUCACAAGGCUGCUCUGCAUUUAACUGGCCGAGUUUUGUCAGGUCCAGCCAGCAGCAGAGAGGCCUGCUGAGAAGGAUUUUGGCCAUUUCUUCCUAAUCUCGGAAGGAAUUUUACAUUGAGCACCACCAAAAAUCUCCCAUGAAUGGCGAGGAAAAGAGAGACGGGGAAGACGGACGCUGGACGUAACCCGACUCUACAAAUGUAGGCAGGCAACUGGUUGAACGGCAGCACUUGUGGCAGUUGAGUUCGGUUGUCGCUCAAUUUCCUGCCAUGCACAAAGACAACUAUUGUUACGUCACAAAGCAGCGUGGAGGCUUAUAGCUGAGCAGAACAUUGCACCUUGGUUGA